rnacentral:rRNA from 1 species
GACAGAGGGUGCAAACGUUGUUCGGAAUUACUGGGCGUAAAGCGUGCGCAGGCGGUCUUGCAAGACAGGUGUGAAAUCCCCGGGCUUAACCUGGGAACUGCACUUGUGACUGCAAGGCUGGAGUACGGCAGAGGGGGAUGGGAAUUCCGCGUGUAGCAGUGAAAUGCGUAGAUAUGCGGAGGAACACCGAUGGCGAAGGCAAUCCCCUGGGCCUGUACUGACGCUCAUGCACGAAAGCGUGGGGAGCAAACAGG